GCAGUCACACUAUGGGCUUCCCACGCAUCCCUAUGGGCUCCCACGCAUCCCUAAUGAGGCUCCCCAUGUAUCCCCAUGUAUCCCUAUGGCUCCCUAUGCAUCCCUAUGGGCUCCCCACGUAUCCCUAUGGGGUCUCUGGGUCUCUAUGGGGUCUCUUUGGUCCCAUGUAUCCCUAUGGGCUCCCCACGCAUCCCAUAUGGGGUCCCCAUGUAUCCCAUGUAUCCUAUGGGCUUCCCCAUGUAUCCCUAUGGGCUCCCCACGUAUCCCUAUGGGCUCCCCACGCAUCCCAUGGGCUCCCCAUGUAUCCCCAUGUUCCCUAUGGGCUCCCCAUGUAUCCCUAUGGGCUCCCCAUGCAUCCCUAUGGGGUCUCUAUGGUCCCCAUGUAUCCUAUGGGGUUUCUAUGGUCCCCACGCAUCCCUAUGGGCUCCCCAUGUACUCCCUAUGGGUCUCUAUGAGGUCUCUAUAGGUCCCCAUGUAUCCCUAUGGGCUCCCCAUGUAUCCCUAUGGCUCCCCACGUAUCCCUAUGGGCUCCCCACGUGUCCCUAUGGCUCCCUAUGGCUCCCCAUGUAUCCCUAUGGGGUCUCUAUGGGGUCUCUAUGGUCCCCACGCAUCCCUAUGGGCUCCCCAUGUAUCCUAUGGGCUCCCCUGUAUCCCCAUGCAUUCCCUAUGGGCCCCCAUGUAUCCCAUGCAUCCCUAUGGGCUCCCCAUGUAUCCCUAUGGGCUCCCCAUGUAUCCCCAUGCCCCUAUAGGCUCCCAUGCAUCCCUAUGGGUCCCCAUGUAUCCCUAUGGCCCCAUUGCAUCCCCUAUGGGUCCCCAUGUAUCCCUUUGGGGUCUCUCAUGAGUUCCCCAUGCAUCCCUAUGGGCUCCCCAUGUAUCCCUAUGGGCUCCCCACGCAUCCCUAUGGGGUCUCCAUUGGUCCCCAUGUAUCCCUUAUGGCUCCCCAUGCAUCCCUAUGGGCUCCCCAUGUAUCCCCAUGCAUCCCUAUGGGCUCCCAUGCAUCCCUAUGGGCUCCCCAUGUAUCCCUUGGGCUCCCCAUUGAUCCCUAUGGGCCCCAUGUAUCCCUAUAGGCUCCCCAUGCAUCCCUCAUGGGCCCCAUGCAUCCCUAUAGGCUCCCCAUGCAUCCCUAUGGGCUCCCCAU
rnacentral:lncRNA from 7 species